GCCAAAUAAAGCCCUCUUACCCCAAAAAUCUUAACUAUUCAAAUUUUCCUACAAAACAUUUCUCCUCCUAGUAUAGGUGAUAGAACAGACAAACAGGAGCAAUAACGCUAGUACCGCAAGGGAACAAUGAAAGACUAAUUUAAAGCACAACAAAGCAAAGAUUCAACCUUCUACCUUUUGCAUAAUGAUUUAGCAAGAAAACCCGGACAAAAAGAAUUUUGCCCGCCUUCCCGAAAUCAAGUGAGCUAUUAUUAAACAGCAUAUUAGAGCUAACUCAUCUAUGUAGCAAAAUAGUGAAAAGAUUUAAUAAUAGAGGUGAAAAGCCUAUCGAACUUGAAGAUAGCUGGUUAUCCAAAACAAGAAUUUCAGUUCUACUCUAAAUUUAAAUAAAGUACUUCCAAACAUAAUUUAAACUUAGAAGCUAAUCAAAAGAGGGACAACUCUUUUGAUCAUGUAUACAAACUUCAUUCGCGGAUAAUGAUAACCUCACUCACAUUGUAGGCCUAAAAGCAGCCAUCAAUUAAGACAGCGUUAAAGCUCAAAUGAUUAAAUUUUUAAUUCCAACAAAAAAUAUCAAACUCCCGAUACCCAUAUUGGAUGAUUCUAUAAACAUAUAGAAGACAUAAUGCUAAAAUCAGUAACAAGAAACACUUCUCCUAGCACUAGCUUAAAUUAGCAACGGAACAACCACUAACAAUUAACAAACCCAAUAUAUUCACCCACACCCCCUAGUUACAUAUUAAACCCAUUGUUAACCCAACACAGGAGUGCAACCAGGAAGAUUAAAAGGGAUAAAAGGAACUCGGCAAAUAUUAACCCCGCCUGUUUACCAAAAACAUCACCUCUAGCAUUAUAAGUAUUAGAGGCAACGCCCUGCCCAGUGAGUCUUUACUUCAACGGCCGCGGUAUCCUGACCGUGCAAAGGUAGCAUAAUCACUUGUCUCCUAAAUAGAGACUUGUAUGAAUGGCAUCACGAGGGUUUUACUGUCUCUUAUCCCCUAUCAGUGAAAUUGACCUUCCCGUGCAGAGGCGGGAAUACUAAUACAAGACGAGAAGACCCUGUGGAGCUUAAGAUUAACAAUCCAUCUUAUCAACUCCCACCCAACAAGGAACAAAAAUCAUAACGACUGGAAUGUAAUCUUUGGUUGGGGUGACCUCGGAGCACAAAAUAACCUCCGAAUGAUUAAACCAAGAUUAACUAAUCAAAGUGUCCUAUAACCAGUAAUUGACCCAUUCAUUGAUCAACGGAACAAGUUACCCCAGGGAUAACAGCGCAAUCCUAUUCUAGAGCCCAUAUCGACAAUUAGGGUUUACGACCUCGAUGUUGGAUCAGGACAUCCAAAUGGUGCAACCGCUAUUAAUGGUUCGUUUGUUCAACGAUUAAAGUCCUACGUGAUCUGAGUUCAGACCGGAGAAAUCCAGGUCGGUUUCUAUCUGUAUAAAAUUUCUCCCAGUACGAAAGGACAAGAGAAAUAAGGCCAACAUAAACCUACGAGCCUUUUAGACAAGAUAUGAAAUCAUCUAAAUAUCUUAACCUAGCUACUUUACCCUCUAGAUAAGAGUUA
rnacentral:rRNA from 1 species